AUUGAACGCUGGCGGCAUGCCUUACACAUGCAAGUCGAACGGCAGCAUGGAGGAGCUUGCUCCUCUGAUGGCGAGUGGCGAACGGGUGAGUAAAGCAUCGGAACGUACCGUGUAGUGGGGGAUAACGUAGCGAAAGUUACGCUAAUACCGCAUACGCCCUGAGGGGGAAAGUGGGGGACCGCAAGGCCUCACGCUAUACGAGCGGCCGAUGUCGGAUUAGCUAGUUGGUAGGGUAAAGGCCUACCAAGGCGACGAUCCGUAGCGGGUCUGAGAGGAUGAUCCGCCACACUGGGACUGAGACACGGCCCAGACUCCUACGGGAGGCAGCAGUGGGGAAUUUUGGACAAUGGGCGCAAGCCUGAUCCAGCCAUGCCGCGUGAGUGAAGAAGGCCUUCGGGUUGUAAAGCUCUUUCAGACGGAAAGAAAUCGGUGUGUCUAAUACACGCACUGGAUGACGGUACCGUAAGAAGAAGCACCGGCUAACUACGUG
rnacentral:rRNA from 1 species